CCCUACAUAAUUUAUAUUGUGAUUUCAUCAUUUGUGAAUACACAACAAAGGAAUAAAUAACUACGACUGACAUCUUGUGUUAUUUUGACUUCAAAGAUGGCGCCGCGACAGUGGCUGCCUUUCCAGCAGACUUUAUUAAUGGUUUUCACAGUCUCAGCAAGUACAGGUACUGUACGUCUUUGUCCGUCUCCGUGCUUUCUUCUGUUCCACUCAAGAGGCGUUCAUGGCCACCUCCAAAAAACGUAAAUUAAUUCUUACUUCAAUGAAACCACGAAGAAAAUCAAGCGAGGAAUUCACAAAAUAAAUUCCGUAGGGGUGGUAUAGAAUUUAUUUUGUGAUUUCAUUGCUUGAUUUUCUGUUUUGAUGCAUUGUUUUCAAUCUUCGUAGUUUCAUUUAAGUACAGUAAUAACUUACAUUUUUCAGAGGCGGUCAUGAACGCCUCUCAAGUUGAACGGACGCCUCUCGAGUUGAAGGAAGGCGCGUCACACCAUCUAGUGGAGGCAUUGUAGAUUGCGCCUUUUAGUGCGAGGCGUCUAAUAUAUGACAAAUAAUUACAAAUUAGCCAUUCAUUGAAGGCAUGCCUCAUAAUCCAAUGCGUCUUUUCGUGCGGAAAAUACGGUACAUAAAAUCAAUAAAUAAUGCAUUCAAACUGAUCACCAACAUUAAUUCAGGAGCACAAGAUGAAAACCUGCAAAAUAAAAAUAUAUAAAAUAAUUUGUGCUGAUUUUUAUUUCAUCAAAGAUGGUCUGGAUUAAUGGCUACAAGUCGCAGUCAAAAAGUGGGAUGAUUGUUGGCAAUAUUCGGCAUGUUUUCCUGAAGAAAACUCAAGCGGCUCAUCAGCAUGAUUGGGGUGUACAUUGAUCCCUCGCUCUAACGCGGUUCACUUUCCGAGGCUUCGCUGUUUCACAGAUUUUUUUAGUGCAGUUUCUUUAAUGCUUUUAAACAGUGAAUUGCGUUCUGCAUCCUGAUUGACUAAGGCACUGACCGACGUGAACAGUCCAACUUCGUACUGACUAUUAAAAAUAUUAUUUUACUGUAUAGUAUUUCUAAAUACUAUUAUACGCGUAUGCUCAGUGCAAACAAAACGCGGAGCGAAUGCUCCCUGCGCACACCCUGCACACAUUCUGCCAAUGAGAGCGUCACUGCCCCCUAAUGCAGUGGAGUUUCAAUUGCACUUUAUUCUACGACAGUUAAAAAAAAAAAAAUCAAAAUAAAAAGACAUGUUCCCCGAGGUCAAACGCGCUCCCCUU